AACAGCUCUGUGGAACCACCAAGAUGACAGUUCAUUGCAAGCAAUGUAUGGCAUUAAAUACAGUUAGACAUCAAUUGCUGAACAUUAAAAAUGGCAAUAUUGCUAGCAAUUCAGACUUUCAGCAAUUUUUAAUUGUCUGCCGAGAUGCUCCCUAAGCCUUUUGGAAACUCGCAAGGUGUCGCUGGUUGUCGCAAAGCUUUAGUUAAUCAAAACAAAAUCAAUAAUACCGUUCGUUUUGACAGAUACCACAUAUUCGUGAAAUUUUUUGUCAAUAAGUGUAGUCUAAUUUUAGAGUGAAAUUUAUUAAUAAAAUAUUAAAAUAACCCCUAAUAUUUUCAUAAAGAUGACUGCUCAAACCAUUCUUUUCGAUUUUACUGUGGAUUCAGAAAGGACUACUGAUACGAAACAGCGACAAGAAAUUGCUAAAGUAGUUCGUGGUGAAGUAGAAAACAUAUUUCCACAGGUCGAACUUGCAUAUCAAAUGACCAUGGAGGAUGGAUUUUUCUGUGUGUUCACAGAAAACAAGGAGACAAUGAUUACCUUACGCAUUUUUCAACAAGGGCUUGUAACUAUGAAUAUUGAGUAUUACUUGGAAGAUGGAAAAGAGCCACUGAUGACUUUCGAUACAUUGCGCACAAUGGAACUAGUUUUACGUCAAAAAUUGCAUUCCGAUCGUUCCAAGUAUUUACCGCCGAUAAAACGUGGUGGAUACAUUGACAUAUACAUGACUAGUUCAGGUCAGCUUAAGAUUAAACAUAAAAGCACAAAUGUAUUAAUCUACUGUAGAUCUGAUUGUUAUCAUCAAAAGAAAAUUUCAUUAAGAAAGAAAUAAUUCGUCAUUAUUAAUUAUCAAAUUAAAAUUUCCGUACACAAAUCAUGUAGUCAUUCUACUUUGUAUAUUCACUUAAAAUUUUUUUCUUAGGGUUGGACGAGCUUAAAUAAUUGUUUUUAUUGCCCUUUGGAAAUAAUGGCACAAAAUGACUGUGUUUACCGAAUGAAAAGUCGCUUUAAAAUGUCAACAAUCAGAGUUUUUAAAUUUAUGUAUACAGACGAGCUUAAAUCAAACAGCGAAUGAAUGAUGGGUAUUUUGCAUUUUUAAUGUAGGACAUUUUUGUAUUUUCGCCCACUUUCAGCUGACGAAAAAAUAGUAGAUUUGAUUAUUUGGUAGCCCAAUAUGGUACUUAUCUCGUCAACUUAAAAGCAAAAUCCCAGAAGUUUUGAACUAACAAUGAUGGCAUAUUAUUCCUUCAUUGCAAAAUUUUAGAGAUAAUACUUAUAUAUUUUAUUAGCGAUCAGAUGUAAAUUAUUUAUGACCAAAAAGUAGGAACAGCUAGACUUGAUUGCAGACAGAGUAAUUUUAAGUUUUAAAUUUAUAUUGAAAGAGGCUAUUAAGAUAUCGAUAUUUACAGUAAAAUAGAAAUCCAAGUUAUAAGAAAAAAUUACCUUUAUAUCAAAAUAAAAUAUUAGAUUUAAGGGUAAUUAUUAAAAAGUGUUCAAUCGGUCGAACUGACUGUUAUCGGAGUAGUAUGCAGAUGCAUACAUACAUACAUAUGAAUGAUUUAUAGAACCUUAUACGUAUCUAUCAUUAUAUUCAUCGAUCAUUAGUUAUAAUUGAAUAACAAUUUAUAAUUUUAUUUAAAGCAAAACUAUUUUCUUUUAUUUUCAUAUAUGAAUCUCUUUCGACAUCAACUCAUAAAAACGCCACCCACCAUCAACCACAAUUACCAUCAUCACCACCACCACCACCACCACAACUUCUUCCUCUUCGAUACUAUCCGAACGCAAAAUUUAACAGUCAUCCAAACGCCUUGAAAAUAUCCUAGCCAAGAAAUUGAAAGUUCAUUCUGGCCAAGUAUUGCCCACUUUGAAACGUGGAGAUGUCGCUAGGUAUUUUCCAUCAUCAGACGAAAGAAUCGUCGAAUAUGACAUUGAUGCUUUGGUGUUUGAGGAGCGUUCACCCUUUCAAAAAAUCCAAAUAUUGCAUUCAAAGACUUUGGGAAACAUGUUGAUUCUGGAUGAAUUGCAAAAUAUUGCGGAAUCAGACUUAAUCUACACCGAAACUCUUAUGGGCCGUGGAAUCGAAAAUUAUGAAGGAAAAGAGAUUUGUAUACUAGGAGGUGGCGAUGGUGCAUUACUUUAUGAGUUACUUAAGGAGAAACCAAAGUUCGUCGUGAUGCUUGAAAUUGAUGAAUUGGUUAUGCAAGCAUGUAAUAAAUAUUUAAAUACGAUUUGUGGUGACGUACUUGAAAAGCGCAAAGGUGAUAACUAUGAAAUUGUUGUUGGUGAUUGUGUGGAGUACAUGAAGAAAUUCAUAUCCGAAAAUCGAAAAUUUGAUUAUGUUUUUGGUGAUCUUACUGAUAUUCCAAUAUCUGGGGCACCUGUUGGAGAAAUUUGGGAUUUUAUAAGAACAAUCCUCGACCACUCUUUUAAAAUAUUAAAGCCAGAUGGAAAAUAUUUAACACAUGGCAAUGGCACAGCUUGUACGGAAUCCUUGGAGUUAUUUGAAGACCAAUUACGUUUGCUUAGACCAAAAGUAAAAUUUACUACUUCCAAGGCAUUUGUUCCUUCUUUUAUGGAAGAAUGGCUAUUUUAUCAGGUAUGCCUGGCUUGACCGACUGCAAUCUGUCACAAUUCUCAUAAUACAUUAUGUUAUCAAAUGCAACGGCUAUCUUACCAAAUUACCUUACGAAAUUGUAUGGUAAAUUUCCUCAGCGAGACCAUUUUAGAGACCCGUAAUAUUUCAUGGCAAAUUGAAAGUUUAUUUAGAUCAAUUCUGAUCGAGAGAUGUUCGUGGCUAUGAAACCCAAUAUACCAUUUAUGUGUUUCCUAGUUUAAUAAAAUAGUGUUUUGCAAUAGUUACAAAUAAUACCAAAUGUGGACUACUAAUUUAAAUAAGAUUCUGUUUAAGGUUAAAUCACCAAAGUGAUUUAUGAAAAUCGUUGAGUAAUUAAAUUACUAUUAUACUUUAAGCCUAAUUGUAAUUCAACCACAAAGCUAGGAUGAUAAAUCAUGUUACUUAUCUAGAUAUACAGGAAAUGUACUAAAACUUCAAACUGUUGAGUACUUAACAUCUAUAUUUUAGUUCAAAUACAAAUAAAAGUAAAAGUCGUAUGCAGAAAAAAUAUUAAUAAUCGUAUGGUAUGAA